rnacentral:rRNA from 1 species
UGCCCACUGAAUUUUUUAACGGCCGCAGUACCCUGACUGUGCAAAGGUAGCAUAAUCACUUGUCUUCUAAUUAAAGACUAGAAUGAACGGCUUAAUGCGAAGAUUGCUGUCUCGUUAACAUCCUUAAAAACUAUUUUAUUGGUCAAAAAACCAAUAUACUGUAAAAAGACGAGAAGACCCUACUGAGCUUAAUUUUUACUUUUAAUACUUUUAAACAAACCAAUUUGGUUGGGGCGACAAAGGAAUUCUACAAACUUCCUUUUUAAUUACCAUAUUAUAAUUAAAUUGACCCAUUACUAAUGAUCAAAAACUAAAGUUACCAUAGGGAUAACAGCAUAAUUCUUUUUAAGAGCUCUUAUCGAAAAAAGAGUUUGUGACCUCGAUGUUGGACUAAGAAAUAACAAAGACGCAAUAGUUUUUGU